CCAUAACUAAAGCUCAGUGGCUUCCUCCUGCAACCGGAGGCAGAGAGGAACAGCCGCGGGGACGGGCGCGGAAUGCCUCCGCCCCGCAGGGUCCUGGAGUCUGGUCGGCCGGCAGGAGGUAGCAGGUCACAGUGGACACAGGGGCCAGCUGGGGUCAGCCAGGUGCAAGAGGUGGGACGGGGCAGAACCCGGACUCUGGGCCACGCCAGCCUGUGGCCUCCUGGCCCAGAUCAAACAGUGCACUCGGCGCGGGCUACAGGGACUUCGGAGGCGGGGCAGAGUCGGAGAUGAGAGCUGCCCCAGGAUGGAAGGUGGGGGCACCCGUCCGGGACAGAGAACCGGACGGACACGGAGAACACGCAGCCAGGCUGUGUGGGCUUACUGCGGCGGAAAGGAAGUUCACUCCGCAGGCCAGGGGAACGGCUUCCAGGGCCGCAGUGUCCCAAACACCCGCACUAACCUCCGCCCGCUGCACAUGGGACCCUGGGACGUCUGUUCUUUGGAAAACUCACAGCUGAUGGAAAUGAAGGCUCAGAAACGGCGCCUUUUGGCGCCUACCUCUCCACUCUGCCUUCGUCCCGCCCUCCUUGGCCUCCUGGAGCAUUGACAGUGAAGUCUCCAGACCCACAAACUCCCCCAGUCUGGUGCCGUUUUCAGUCGUCCCCACCGGUCCCUUCCCCGUUUUGGGGAAAGGCACAUGGCUCUUCCCGGCUGGUACAAGAUCUCUGCGCCAUCAGCCCGACCGUCCCCCCGUGCAGCUGUGGUGCCCAGCGCCCAGCGCCAAACAACCCGCUCCUUCCUUCACGGGACAGGGCACUCCCGUUCUGCUCCUGGCGGCGUUCUCCUCAAUAAACCCCUCUACAGGGGGACCUCAUCGAGCCUUUAGACCACAAGACCUUUCCUUUCUCAUUUGUUCAGACCUCAGCGGAGGCCUUGUCA